AGAUACUCCUUCCCCCAAAGGAAUUUUGAAAAACCAUCUACCUGCCCACACAGGUUGUGCAUCCCUUGAGGAUAGGGAUUAUUGUGUUUUUUCCAUCUUGGAAUUCCCAGCAUUUCUAUAAUCCCUGGUUUCAGGAUUCUUGUGGUUACAUUUGGCCGAUCUGGAUAAUCCAGGAAAACCUCCCUAUUUUAGAAUAAUCAGGUUAGCAAAUUUAAUUACGUCUGUCACCUCAAUUUUCUUUUGUAAUGUACGUAAGAUAUUCAUAAUUUCUGGGGAUUAGAAUGUGAACCUUCUUGGGAGACCACUUUUCUGCUUACCACAGAGUUAUAAAUGUUAUUUAACUUGCUUGUAUAUAGCUACAGUUUCCAGCACUGCAUAAGGGCUCAAGACAUAAUUUUUUUAAUAAAUUCGUAUUUACAAAAUCAUCAAUUUUUCAUAGAAUCAUGCAAAUUGAAGAUUGGAACAACUUUAAUGCUCUGUUCUUUUGUAUUUCUUGAACUGUGAUAAGGACAAUAUUAGUUUAAUUAAUUUAAGAAGUUAAUUGGCUAUGUAUCCUUGUAUAUGUUUUAGACCGUGCUCUUAUAAUACUACCAUUCUUACUCUGAUACAUAACAAGUAAUUGAAUACAUUGUAAUGAUGACAACAUAUUUAGAAGUGCUCAAUUUUAGUAAAAAUUCCUUGGACAAACUUUCUGAACCCCUGGUUAAACAUUCUCAUGAACUGCAAGUACUUUUGAAUAUUUCACCACCUUUCUGCACAGUUUUUCAACGUUCAACAAAAACGUAUCAUUUUCUAAACAGAAAUCUGAACUCCUAAGUGCCUAGCAUAAACAAUAAUCUGCAUUUGAUUUUUAUCAAUUGAUAAAAAUUUGACAAAUAUUUGAUUUUGAUGAAUAUCAAAAAGUAUGUCAUGUUUAAAUUCAUAGGAAAAAAAUCUAUCUGUAAGUCUCUGCUUUUUAAAUAGAUAAAGAAAAGCUU